GCUGGGACAGCCGAGUCAGAAGAGCGUGAGACUCUUAAUCUCAAGGUUGCGGGUUUGAGCCCCAUGUUGGGCA